rnacentral:rRNA from 1 species
ACUUAAAUUGAAGAGUUUGAUCAUGGCUCAGAUUGAACGCUGGCGGCAGGCCUAACACAUGCAAGUCGAGCGGUAACACAGGGAGCUUGCUCCUGGGUGACGAGCGGCGGACGGGUGAGUAAUGUCUGGGAAACUGCCUGAUGGAGGGGGAUAACUACUGGAAACGGUAGCUAAUACCGCAUAACGUCGCAAGACC